rnacentral:rRNA from 1 species
AGAUUGAACGCUGGCGGCAUGCCUUACACAUGCAAGUCGAACGGUAACAGGUUAAGCUGACGAGUGGCGAACGGGUGAGUAAUAUAUCGGAACGUGCCCAGUAGUGGGGGAUAGCCCGGCGAAAGCCGGAUUAAUACCGCAUACGACCUACGGGUGAAAGGGGGGGAUCGCAAGACCUCUCGCUAUUGGAGCGGCCGAUAUCAGAUUAGCUAGUUGGUGGGGUAAAAGCCUACCAAGGCGACGAUCUGUAGCUGGUCUGAGAGGACGGCCAGCCACACUGGGACUGAGACACGGCCCAGACUCCUACGGGAGGCAGCAGUGGGGAAUUUUGGACAAUGGACGCAAGUCUGAUCCAGCCAUGCCGCGUGCGGGAAGAAGGCCUUCGGGUUGUAAACCGUCUUUGUCAGGGAAGAAAUCCUUUGAAAUAAUACUUCGGAGGGAUGACGGUACCUGAAGAAUAAGCACCGGCUAACUACGUGCCAGCAGCCGCGGU